UACGUAGGGUGCAAGCGUUGUCCGGAAUUAUUGGGCGUAAAGAGCUCGUAGGCGGUUUGGCGCGUCUGCUGUGAAAACUCGGGGCUUAACUCCGGGCCUGCAGUGGGUACGGGCAGACUAGAGUGCGGUAGGGGAGACUGGAAUUCCUGGUGUAGCGGUGAAAUGCGCAGAUAUCAGGAGGAACACCGGUGGCGAAGGCGGGUCUCUGGGACGGUACUGACGCUGAGACGCGAAAGCGUGGGGAGCAAACAGG
rnacentral:rRNA from 1 species